rnacentral:rRNA from 1 species
GAUGAACGCUGGCGGCGUGCCUAAUACAUGCAAGUCGAGCGAAUGGAUUAAGAGCUUGCUCUUAUGAAGUUAGCGGCGGACGGGUGAGUAACACGUGGGUAACCUGCCCAUAAGACUGGGAUAACUCCGGGAAACCGGGGCUAAUACCGGAUAACAUUUUGAACCGCAUGGUUCGAAAUUGAAAGGCGGCUUCGGCUGUCACUUAUGGAUGGACCCGGGUCGCAUUAGCUAGUUGGUGAGGUAACGGCUCACCAAGGCAACGAUGCGUAGCCGACCUGAGAGGGUGAUCGGCCACACUGGGACUGAGACACGGCCCAGACUCCUACGGGAGGCAGCAGUAGGGAAUCUUCCGCAAUGGACGAAAGUCUGACGGAGCAACGCCGCGUGAGUGAUGAAGGCUUUCGGGUCGUAAGACUCUGUUGUUAGGGAAGAACAAGUGCUAGUUGAAUAAGCUGGCACCUUGACGGUGCCUAACCAGAAAGCCACGGCUAACUACGUGCCAGCCGCCGCAGUAA